rnacentral:misc_RNA from 1 species
CUUGUUGGGUGCAGUAAUGGGCAUGGUCUUCUUAGUUGUUUCAAUUAUGAGGUUCUGUUGUAACUUCAAUUUUGUCAUAGGAACUGUUUAACAUUUUUGAGGAUCUUGUUAACCUAUUUGGGGUUCUCAUUGUGUAAGUGUCAAGUCAUAAUGUGGUUCAUGAGUGUAAGCAUAUUCAUUUAGUAACUCCGCUAAACUAAACCAUGCUCCCACAACAUGAAUUAUUUUUUUUCCCUUUCCACCCUACUUGUAUUAUAAAGUCAACUCAUCAUUCAUGGUCUACCUCUUAUCUUGUAGUUGCCUG